UCUGAGCGGGGCCUGGGCAGCGGCGGGGCCGUAGGACCUCGCGCUGCGUUCGCGGGCUCCGGGGCGGGGGCGGCGGCGGCGAAGCCCCCUCCCCGGGGAGGCGGGGCCUGAGCGAGCUCCCCAGCCGGGGAGCGGCGGCGGCUGGGAAGGAUGCAUCAGAAGCUGCUGAAGAGCGCUCAUUACAUCGAGCUGGGCAGCUACCAGUACUGGCCAGUCCUGGUGCCCCGCGGCAUCCGUCUCUACACCUACGAACAGAUCCCCGUGUCCCUCAAGGACAACCCGUACAUCACCGACGGCUAUCGGGCCUACCUGCCCUCCAGGCUGUGUAUCAAAAGUUUGUUUAUUUUAUCUAAUGAGACGGUAAAUAUCUGGAGUCAUUUGCUGGGUUUCUUUCUCUUCUUUACACUGGGAAUAUAUGACAUGACAUCAGUGUUACCUUCGGCAAGUGCAUCCAGAGAAGAUUUUGUAAUUUGUUCUAUUUGUCUUUUCUGCUUCCAGGUCUGUAUGCUUUGCUCUGUGGGCUAUCAUCUCUUUUCUUGCCAUCGAUCAGAAAAAACCUGUCGAAGAUGGAUGGCAUUAGAUUAUGCAGGAAUUUCUAUUGGAAUACUGGGCUGCUAUGUCUCUGGUGUAUUUUAUGCUUUUUAUUGUAAUAACUACUGGCGUCAAGUGUACUUGAUCACAGUGCUUGCCAUGAUCCUGGCAGUGUUCUUCGCACAGAUCCAUCCCAAUUACCUCACCCAGCAGUGGCAGAGGCUCCGUUCUAUCAUCUUCUGUUCUGUUUCGGGAUACGGAGUGAUCCCAACUCUUCACUGGGUUUGGCUCAAUGGAGGAAUCGGUGCUCCUAUUGUACAGGACUUUGCACCCCGUGUAAUUGUGAUGUAUGUGAUUGCUCUUCUUGCUUUCCUAUUCUACAUUUCCAAAGUUCCAGAACGGUACUUUCCAGGACAACUAAACUACCUCGGAUCAAGCCACCAAAUAUGGCAUAUCCUUGCAGUAGUGAUGUUAUAUUGGUGGCAUCAGUCAACAGUGUAUGUCAUGCAGUACAGACAUAGCAAGCCUUGCCCUGACUAUGUUUCACAUUUGUGAAUUCAGAAUCAGGAAUGAAGAAUUCAGGGACUGUCACAUCUUAUGGCAUCCCACCUGGACAAAGUAACCGAUUUGAAGAUUGUGACUGACUGGCAUAAAGGUGUGCAACUCCAUUUGGCAGGUACCUACCUGGAGAUAUCUUUGCCCUGUACUAAACACGAAGGGGCAAAGUCUACACUUCUGGAUCCCUGCCAGUUGCUGAGCUGAGUAGGAGUUAAUGCCAAGAGUCCGUCGGAAGUAUCUACUGUUUAGAAGGAAAUGGAGCAGCACCAAAGGGGUCUAAUUCAACUGACUGGGACUGUUGGGACUGAUGUGAAGCGAUGCUUUGCACCACAAGUUCUGUAAAGGGCACGGCACCAAAAUCAUCCAUUUUCAAUGCGUCUGCACUAUGGAAUGAGCCAUGCAGAGAACUCGGUCGUGGCCGCCCAGGCAGGACGGGGUUGUGGUCGGCACGGAUGUCACUCAGGCCCUGAUGUGGAGGGUGCCAUGGCAGAUCUGGAGGAUGGAAGGGCUUGGCACCAAAGGGGUCCAACAGAUUCUCCUCGGGUUGCAGGCCGUUCCCUCUGUCUCUCCCGUCGGUCAGUGCAACACUAAUGUUCUCCUUGGAGUCCGAGAUGGUUAAAAAUUCAUUGCUGCUUUGAGAGUCUCGGCGGCCCACCUUUUUGUGCCUGCGAGCCCUCUCUGGAGUGCGGUAGGUAGGCUUCACAGUCUUCUUUGUGCUGGUUGGCGUGCCAUGAUGCCGCUUCCCGUUACUUUUGGACAGAUCCUGCUUGGUGCGCCUUUGGCGAGAAGACAGUUUCUGUAAGCUCCGCUGCUUGACUUUCUGCUGUUGACUCCCAGUUAUUUCCUCAAAGGGCACAAGCCCAAAAAGGUCCUCGCUGCUGUCACUUUUACUUGUUGAUGUGGGAAAAGGCUGAAAUGGAGUGGAGCCAAAUAUAUCUACACUUUUGGGGCCACCAGGGAGAGCAUGUGCCUCAGGACCCACUCCAUGGCAGUCUUGUACACUGACCUUCUUGCUAAAGGGUGCCUUUGUGAAUACAUCAAAUUCCUCCUGCUCUAGACCCACAGCAGGACACAGGGUCUGCUGACAGAAGUUCUUUUCAUUCUCUCCUUGGUGAGGCUGCUGAGGACGCACCGCGAAGAAGGGGACAGCGCCGAACACAUCAAAUUCCAGUUUGGGAGCCUCCACUCCAACAUCGGAGGGUAACCGGGUUGGGGUGAGAAGUGUGUCGGUGGGACCUGGUGCUGAUCCACUGCCAGAUUUGUCUCUGUAGACAGGGCUCACGUCACUGUACUUCACUUUGGCCUGCUCAUAAUCAGAAUCAGAGCUAUGUUUCUCUUCUUCCUCGUCUUCAGAAUCCAUGAGGAGAGGCCUGUGGCCCAGAUUUUCUGGUUCAGUAUCAUCGUCGUUAAAAUCUCCCUGCUCUCCCUGAAGAACUUCCUCAUCCUCCUGUUCCUCCUCUUCACUGCUCUUGGGAGAAGGAGGAUCUGACUCAAAAUCACUUUCAGACUCAUCAUUCCGCUUUUGCACUUGACCCUGUACCAGUGAAUUCUCUGAGGUUUUCUUUCCAGUCCGGUGGUCUUUAGAUACUGGACUUGCUUUUCUAUUCUUGAUAGGGUUUGCAGAACUAUUUUCUUGAUUCGUAGAUGAAUGUUCAGUUUUCUUUUCCGGAGAACCUGCAGAUUCAAAGAAAAAUUAUUAUAGCUUUCUAGUACAUUUCAAGAACCAUUUGCACUGAACAGUAUGCACUAACACGAGGCAUUACAAAUCCCUCAUACCAGUUCGCUUAGAGGAAGAAAUAGCAUCAAUUCUUUGGUCAUUAGGCUUAGGGAAUGCACUUGUCCUCAACUAGAUGGUUAAGUCCUCUAGUGCAGAGAGAUUUCCUGGUCUCUGUACCCUACACACCACCUACUCAUAGGCCCUCAAUGCCAGCUAAGUUUUAGUUACAGUACCCAAAGAGGACUCUGAAUAUAGAACACAGACCAAUUUUCUUCACCUUCAAAAUAAGAUUAUUCAACGAAUCGCCUCUACUCAGAAUCCCACAUUUACCUGCUUGUAUUUCUACUCCAUUAUAAAAUUUUCCCAAAAAAGAUCAACAAGCAUGAAUAGCUUGUCUGUUCAGUUAGAUGUUUCACUGGAAUUUUUUAAAUUAGCAUUCUGAUUUCCUUAUAAACGAGUAUCUUAUUAGAUAGGCUAACAUGAGUGCAUACCCACAAUCUGAUCAAAGCCAAGGACUGGGUACUGAACUGAGUGAGAGUGUACCAAGGACAACUGCCUUCUCAAGAUGACCUAUAUUCCUUUAACUAUCAUAUCUUUACUACUAAACAUUACAUUAAAAGCAUGAUAUCUUAAAAAAAAAAAAAACUAUCAGUAUGUUCACUGUAUGACGGGUAGUGAAACUGCAUCAAAUAAAUAUAGUGCUUUACAAUUUCAAUGUCUGGUAUAUAACAAAGAGUGUAUUUGUUACAUGAAAAUAUAAUGCCCUCCCAAUACAGUAGUGUAUUUAAUGGAUAUUCCAGAGGGAGGGAUCAAUCUGAACUGAUGCAACCACAUAACCAAUCAUCCCUUCCCUUCCUUUGACUAAGAUCAGAUAUUUUCAAAAUAAUAGGGUUGGAAGUAUAGUCUGUAGCCAAGAAAACUAAUCAGCUUACAAUGGAAGGACCAUUACUCUCCUGUUACUAACAUGGUCCCUAUGGUAUAUGACACCUCUGAGUUCUUACCUUCUCUUUGAAAGUCAGCUCCGUUGUCUUCCCACCUCUCUAACUGUUCCUUCUUGGUCAUAUUUGUAGAUUGAUGUUACAUAUUUGUAGAUUGAUGCAGUUUCACUACCCAUCAUACAGUGAACAUACUGAUAGUUUUUUUUUAAGAUAGCAUGCUUUUAAUGUAAUGUUUAGUAGUAAAGAUAUGAUAGUUAAAGGAAUAUAGGUCAUCUUGAGAAGGCAGGUGUCCUUGGUACACUCUCACUCAGUUCAGUACCCAGUCCUUGGCUUUGAUCAGAUUCUCUUUCACUAACAUCUCUGCAUACAUGUAUGUUCCUCAGGAUUCUGUCCUCGGCUUUUUUCCUCUGCGUGUCUUCCCAUGGUCUUAAAUAGUUGUAUGUUAAUUGCCACAUACACCAUCAUGACUGAAUCUCUAAUAGUGACCAUGCAUACUCAGUCAUCUAAUAGUUAGGAAUAUGUAUCGUACCAUUACUUCAAAUUCAGUAAUUCAAAAGAGAUAUCUUUCCUCUUAAAAUGUGCUCCUCACCCUUCCCUCUGAAUUAAUGAACAAUACUUCUGUCAACUAGUUCUGCAAAUCAGCAAAAAUCUGGAAAUCAUCUUCCUUCCUCACCAGUGUUUUUAAAUUCUCUUAUAUCUGUUCCUUCCUCUUCCUCUGCCAGUUGUCUAUUUCAUUUCCUCUAUCCUUGUCUGUCUGUCUCCAGUACCAUGUCCAUCAGACCGCUCCUCUCCAGUGCCACCAGAAUGACUUUUCUGAAACAUUACAUAGCUCAGCUUAAAACUUCAGGGGCUCUCUGAAGUCCCAACCCUUAGCCCAGCACAGGGUGUCCUUCUCAAUCUGGAUUCUAUCCUACCACAUCUUUAGCCUCAGACCCUGAUGUAUUCUUCAUGGGUAUUCUUCAUUAUUGCCACACCCAGCUUGUCCCUACUCAAACUCAGGAACAGAUUCAAAUUUUUAAAAAGUUUUUGGGAUAUCUUGCUAUCCAACAUCUUAAUGUUUGCUAUCAGAAACUGCGGAACCUAAUAGAUUUGGGUUUCCUGCUGUUUUAACAUCUCAUACAACCUCUUGGUAAAAACAUCCUUCUAGUUUCCUGCUCCUGUCUGACUUGCCUAGUGGUCCUGGCUAUAUUCCAUGCCAGAGCCCUUCAAAGACACCCCUUGAAAAAUACCCAUAUUUGGGGGUCCUAAUGAACUCAGUACAAGCCUAAAUUGUAGCAGCUACUGUACUGUAUUAUAAUUAUUGGUUUACUUGUCUGUUUUCCCUACUUGAUUAUGAGCUCUUAGACACAGUCCUAUUUAUCAUUUACCUCAUUUAUCAUUCCUUUCUACCCUAGCAAGUGUUGAAUCAAUAUUUGUUGAAUGAAACAAUAAGUGACUACUCUGAGCUCAUAGCUAUAGACACAUACUCAGUAUACUCAGAAUACAAUAAAGAAGGUAACAUAAAAAAAAUGAACUCUUUACAUUCAGUCACUGCAUUUUUAAUUUAACAAUAUAUUUUUAUAGAGCACUUUCCUACAUGCUAUAUGCUGAUCAUACAUUAAUGAAUAAAAUAAGUACAGUCUCUGCCUUCAAGAGUUUAUAAUCAAGUGUGGGAGAGUAUAAAUAAACAAAUUGUGACGGGCUCUCUGAAAUAACAGAGCAGUGGUGCAAGUCAUGGAGAGGGGGGAGGGGGGAGGGAUACAUAAGCCUACAGUCAGCAGAGGCUUCCCCUAAGGAGGAUGGUUAGGACUGAACAGUGAAGAUGAGCCAGCUAUGCAAAGGACAGGCAAAAAGCUGCUCCAAGGAAAAGCUAUGGCAUGUGUGAAGGCCAAUGCAGAAAGAAGUUGGCAUGUUUGGGGAACUGAAAAUAGGUCAGUGUAGCUGGAGUACAGUGGCAAGACUACCAUACAAGAUGAGGUAGGAAAGAGAGGGGAAGGACCAACCUGUGAAUGUCCCUUUAAGGCCAUUAUAAGGAGUCUGGAUUUUGUGCUAAGUUCAGUGAGUAAUGGGGAAGCCAUUACAAGGCUUUAUUUAAAAUGGGUGUCAUGUUCAGAUUUAUAUUUGAAACAUAAGUGACCACUGGGUAGAAAAAAAGGCUGAAGAGAGAGGUAUAAAAGUGAGGAGAUCAGGGAAGAGGAAACUGUAGAAAUAAAGCCAGAGAUUCUGGUGGCCUGGAUGACAGUGGGGGCCGGGCAAGUAGAAGUGAAGAAUUAGAGAUUGAGGAGGGAAACUCUGGAAGGAUGGUAGCGCCAUUAAUGCAGACAGAAGAGUGAGUAAAGAAUACGUUGGAAAGUAGAGGAAGAUUUCAAGAAUUUAGUUUUGGGGUGCCUGGGUGGCUCAGUCGGUUGAGUGUCCGACUUCGGCUCAGGUCAUGAUCUCGCGGUUCGUGAGUUCGAGCCCCGCAUCGGGGUCUGUGCUAAUAGCUCAGAGCCUGGAGCCUGCUUCGGAUUCUGUGUCUUCCUCUCUCUCUACCCCUCCCCCACUCAUGCUCUGUCCCUGUCUCAGAAAUAAAUAAACAUUAAUUUUUUUUUUUAAUUUAGUUUUGAACACAAAGUUUGAGUUACCUAUGAAGCAUUUAAGUACAAUGGUUAGUUUUUGACCGGAGACGAGAUUUGGGAGUCCUCACCUCCAGAGGGGUAAGUAGAGAGGGUUACAAGUCUGAAGGAAAUCAUUUAGGAAGUGAGUACAAAGCAGAGAAAGGGGACCCAACACUGAGCCUUCAGGUCUAAUACAUUUGGAGGUAAGCAGAGGAACCUACAAAGCUACAUGCAGAGUACGGAGAGAAGGACCCAAAACCAGGUGAGCGCAAUGUCACAGAAGCCAAGAGAGGAGUGCUUCCGGAGACAGAGUAGACACCUGGGCUGGGUGAGGCAGAGAGCUGCAAUGAACUGAGGACAGACAAAGGCCACUGGCUCUGGCUGACACAUGCACUUUGUCGGCAACCUUAAAGUGAGGAGUAGGGCUGAGGAGGAGGGGGAAAGAAGACACGGAGAAUUCCAUCAGGUUCUACUUAAGUAUAAUAAUCUUCAUCCAUUAUUCAUCUGCCAGUUCUAUGGAACAAGCCAAGAGCUAAAUGUUGUAUCUUUACAAAUUUAUAAUAGGCUUAUCUUAGAUCCUAAGAGAUUAAAACCAAAUCAAAUGCAGAUUCUCAAGUUUGACUUCUCCUCCAUAGAGCUUACUUCUGACAUUAAAAACAAAGAUUACUUUUAGAUUAGCUGCAGAAUUCAUUUUCAUGAAUUUUUAUUCAAAAGCAAAAAAUGUAACAGCAAAGAUUUAUAAUCAUUCCUCGCUUUGGGACAGUUCCUCUAAGAUACAGUUUAACUUACUACCUCAAGCUCCUUACCCAUCCAGAGAGAGCCACAAUGUGUACCCCCUCAUGCCUGCUCAUGGACACCUCCAGCAACACUCCAGAAUGCUUCCUAAAGUAUAUUCUGCAGAACGUUAUUCCUAUAAUAAGAACUAAACAGCUCUGUGGUCCCAGGUACCUGAGUUUAUAAAAUGCUACACUAUAUAAUGUGCCUCCACUUGGAAAAUGCUCAUUAAGGGUGCUGAUAAGUCCUAUGCAAAAGAAUCUGCUUAAUCUUAUGAAACCAGGAUUUCCCAAAUUUGCUUCACUACAAACACUUGUAUUCACAAGUAACACUAUUAACUUCAUAAACAAUUUUGCAAAAUGCACUCUGGGAAAAUACUACUUCUACAAUUUCUCUGGGAAAUUCCAUUUCUAGGGCACAGGGUGUCAUUCCUAAAGAUUUUCUGGAAAAUUUAACAAGGACAAUUUACAAAAUUUAAAAGGACAGAGAAACAGACAGAGACGGAGACAGAGUCUGAGCUGUCAGCACAGAGCCUGAUGCAGGGCUUGAAGCCACAAACCGUGAGAUCAAGACCUGAGCCAAAGUCAAAUGUCCAACCGACUGAGCCACCCAGGCGCCCCAACUUUAUUUUUGCUAUUCUUCUAUUUUAAUCCCAGUCUUCUAAAUUAACUGUUUUCCUUUACCCAAUUGGCCACUAGUGCUUUCCAAAACACAACUGUCACUUCCUACUCAUUCUGUCUGCACUGUCCGCUUCUCAAAGUUGUAUUCACAGAGAUACAGAUUUCUUGGUAAUAAAGUGCUAUAUAUAGAUCUA